rnacentral:rRNA from 1 species
UAAUACAGAGGCCCCAAGCGUUACUGAGAAUCACUGGGUUUAAAGGGUGCGUAGGUGGUCCGUUAAGUCCGUUGUGAAAUCCCUGGGCUCAACCCAGGAACUGCUUCGGAUACUGGCGGACUUGAGGCUAGUAGGGGUCACUGGAACUGACGGUGGAGCGGUGAAAUGCGUAGAUAUCGUCAGGAACGCCAAUGGUGAAGACAGGUGACUGGGCUAGAUCUGACACUGAGGCACGAAAGCGUGGGGAGCGAACGGGAUUAGAUACCCCGGUAGUCCACGCCCUAAACGAUGCAGACUAGACUGCAGCGGGUUACACCCCGUUGCGGUCGGAGCGAAAUUGUUAAGUCUGCCACCUGGGAAGUACGGUCGCAAGGCUA